rnacentral:hammerhead_ribozyme from 1 species
CCAAAAAUUAUGCUACCUGAUGAGGCCUUGAAAUUUAGACCGAAACGCGUCGUGGUAAUUAAUCUUGGAUACUCACCC